rnacentral:tRNA from 1 species
GGCUUUGUAGCUUAGUGGUAAAGCAGGCACCUAGAGUUAGCCCAAACCAGGUUUGAGUCCUGAUGGAGCCA